rnacentral:lncRNA from 1 species
AGAAUUAUCUUUUCAGGACAAAGCUUGGACCUGAGACCUUUCUAAGAAGUCUUGAAUUGACCACGUUUACAAGUUGAUAAUAAGCCUCAGUGAAAUGAGCACUCUUAUGUCUGAAACAGAAAGCCUCCGGUAUGCCAGCAUGGACCCAAGGAGAAUUUUGUCCCGAAAAUAGAAGUUCUCAAUUUCCAAUGGCUGCAGUUGCCCGCAUUGAUCUCCAAUAUAGUGGUGACAUCCUGCUGAGCUGCUGAUUUGUGCUCCUUGUCUCCUUAGCAGCACUUGGAUGGCCACUGACCCUAAAGUGCCCCCUGUACGUUACUUUCUCUGUUUCCAUGGCUACCCAAACCUCUUUGCAAUAUUAUUUCAAUAAAAAUCAAGUUACAGUUAAAUCA